UACGAAGGGGGCUAGCGUUGUUCGGAAUUACUGGGCGUAAAGUGCGCGCAGGCGGUCUUCCAAGUCAGUGGUGAAAGCCCGGAGCUCAACUCCGGAACUGCCAUUGAAACUGUUAGACUUGAGGAUGAGAGAGGUGAGUGGAAUUCCCAGUGUAGAGGUGAAAUUCGUAGAUAUUGGGAAGAACACCGGUGGCGAAGGCGGCUCACUGGCUCAUUACUGACGCUCAGGCGCGAUAGCGUGGGGAUCAAACAGG
rnacentral:rRNA from 1 species